UGUUUCUGGUAGCGUGAGGAUGACAUCUGCAGCUAGAGACAAGAAAGCAAAGUUUCCCUCCAAACCAUGCGAGAAAUAUGGGGCGGUUACUGACUUUGCAUGCCCAUCAAAGCAGGCAGCUUCUUCCUCAAUUCUUUCAUCCGCAUCUCUCUCUCUCUCUCUCUCUCUCUCUCUCUCUCUGGUUUAGGGAUAACUAGUUAAUUACAGGGAGGAAGGAAGCUCUUCAGUCUAACCAAGACGGGUCUGGGACUGAUCUCUGCUGCUGAAUCGUUGGUUCAUGAACAUAUCAAACUAAUCAAAUUCGAACGGAUAUGUUUCUGAUCGAAGGAAGCAGGAGCCGAGUUUGGUUAUGGCUGUCUUUUCUUGGACUGAAGGGUUUCCUUCUCUCUCUCUCUCUCUCUCUCUAACAGUACUGUAAGAUCUUAAUCUUCAAGAGUUGGAUCCGCAUGUUAGAUGCAAGAAGACAGGGUGAACUGAAAGCUUUCGUUUUCAAUUCAACGGAGCCUAAUUGGGCUAACCCUAGCUAGAUUGGCAGCGGCAGCAUCCAGAGAAGCCUGAAAAGCGUGAGAUUAAUUGGUAGAUCUUAUACACAACGGAACGGAGCUAAUGAAGCUGUCUUGGU